CCCGGGGGCCGCGGAAGCUGCCCAGGCGCACGGAGGAGCCAGGGGAUGCCGAGCCCAGCAAGCGACUGCUCGAGAAGCGGGAGCUGGACGCGUAGGAGUAGGACCCAGGGGACAGUGAGGGCGGUGGCCCGAAGGUGGUCUGGAAAAUAAAGAGAGAUGUGUUGCUGCCACCUUCUGGUCAGAAGUUAGAAUGACAUGUCUGCAGUCAAUCCAUCUAAGACUCCAGGUUGGUUCACCAACAUUGGAAUUUGGGGAAUUCACAAUUAUUUCACCUUCUUUCUACAGCUAAGAAAAAUUCACAAGGUUGUGUAAAAUAGAAUAGCAACACUGGUCUUAGGAGUUCAGAGCCCUGAUUCUAUUCUUCACCUGGUCUCUAGGAGCCUCCUCUGCACUGCCCCAGCAGCCCCCACCCCAAACAAAAAGCCACGGAAGCAGGGCAAACUCUGUUCUCUGCCUGCAAACACUGCCCCCCACCCCCAUCUUCUACUAUGUUCACAAUCUUCAGUCCUGCCCUAUCAUAAAAUCACGUCUCCAUCUGCCUUCCUGACCUUUCCAACCAGCCACCCCUCAGCUGGAGAACAGGAGAGCAGCUUAUGGCCAUGGAAUGCUAAGUGUAUUUUCCCUCUCAUAGCAUGGCCUGGGGGCUUGACAGAGUCACCUGAGAGACUGUUAAAAAGCAGAUGCCAGUGUCCAGUGCCUCAACCAGAUCUUCUGAAUCUCUAGCAUCUGCAUUUUAACAAACUUCCUAGAUGAUUCUUAAUGUGCAUGAAAAUUUGAGUAUUCCUGGAUUAAGAUUUUUUUUCUUUAAAUUGUCUGUCUUUUUCCCCAUUUUAUUUUUAAGAGUUUCAAACCCAGAGAAGAGUUGAAAGAACAUUGCUAGAGGCCCCAGUAUACCCUUCUCCUGGACUUACAGUUGUCAGUAUUUUGCCACAAUUCCUUUGAAAUUCUGGAGGCUGGAAGUCCAAAAUCAAGAUGUUGGGAGGGCUGUUCCUCCAAAGGCGGUAGGGGAGAAUCCUUCCUUGCCUCUUCCAGCUCCUGGCGGCUCCUGGUGUUUCCUGGCUCGUGGCAGCGUCUCUAAUCUCUGCCUCUGUCUUCACAUGGCCUUCUUCUCGGUGUCUGUCUUCUCUUUUCUGUCUUGCCAUUAAACUGGAUGACCCGGCUAAUCCAGGAUAAUCUCGAGAUCCUUAACUACAUCUUGCAAAGACCCUUCUUCCAAAUAAGGUCACCAUCACGGGUUCUGACACGUCGACAUCUUUUUGGCGAGCUACCAUUCAACCCAGUACAGUGGGAGAUUGUUCUAGACAAAAAAAGAGACCGAGAGCUAUAACAACUAAAUGCAAUGUACAAACUAGAUUGGAUCGCAGAUUCAGAGGGGGAU